AGUGAACGCUGGCGGCGUGCCUAAUACAUGCAAGUCGAACGGAGUGGCGCACGGGUGAGUAAUAUAUAGCUAAUCUGCCCCAUGCAGGAGGACAACAGUUAGAAAAGACUGCUAAUACUCCAUAGCAAGGGAUGAGACUAUAUCGUAUCAGCUAGUCGGUGGGGUAACGGCCUACCGAGGCUAGGACGCGUAACUGGUCUGAGAGGAUGAUCAGUUACAUUUGAACGGAGACACCGUCCAAACUCCUACGGGAGGCAUCAGUAGGGAAGAUGGCGCAAUGGGGGAAACCCUUACGCAGCAUCGCCGCGUGGAGGAUGAAACUUUUCGGAGUGAAAACUCCUUUUGUUAGGGAAGCGGUACCUAACGAAUAAGCACCGGCUAACUCCGUGCCAGCCGCCGCGGUAAUUC
rnacentral:rRNA from 1 species